rnacentral:rRNA from 1 species
AUGGUACAUAUGAGAUGCAACUUUGGUAGAUGGAUGAGCGGGAAGCCCAGAAAAACUUGCUUAACAGUUACCUACCAGGCUACCACCCACAUGAACAAUAUUGACGUCCUGCCCCACUUCCGGUCGUACAAUUUAAGGUUCUGGACUAAGCUAUUCGGGUGCAUGCAGUUCAGCACAUAUAUCAUCAACUCCAGUACUCCACAGUCCACACUACUCACUAAAUACUACCCCUCCAAAUCCCCUGUGUUUCCGCAAGAUACGGGAAGAUUGUUUCAAAAUUUCACUCAGAUCCAUCAAGACCUAAUCAACUAA